GCCGGGCGUGGUGGCGUGCGCCUGUAAUCCAGCUACUCGGGAGGCUGAAGCAGGAGAAUUGCUUGAACCCAGGAGGUGGAGGCUGCAGUGAGCCGAGACAGCAGCACCACUGCAGCCUGGGUGACAGAGCGAGACUCUGUCUCAA
rfam:Homo sapiens chromosome 17, GRCh38 reference primary assembly.